GACGAACGCUGGCGGCGUGCUUAACACAUGCAAGUCGAGCGAGGUCCAUCCAGGGGUAACCCUGGUGAAGACCUAGCGGCGAACGGGUGAGGAACACGUGAGCAACCUGUCCCGAAGACUGGGAUAACACCGGGAAACCGGUGCUAAUACCGGAUGCCCUCGAGUCACCGCAUGACGACACGAGGAAAUGGAUUCCGCUUCGGGAGGGGCUCGCGGCCUAUCAGCUUGUUGGUGGGGUAACGGCCCACCAAGGCUACGACGGGUAGCUGGUCUGAGA
rnacentral:rRNA from 1 species